rfam:Chelativorans sp. BNC1, complete genome.
CAGCGGGCUACCCCUCCCCACCGAGGGGCGAGCUAUCUGGAAGGAUAGGAACA